UUGCCUGUCCUGCAGUGCUAUGCGUGGUGUUGGAAUCUCAGUGGGACAGGCACACAGAGACUCAUACAGUAAAUAGUCAGGCUCCAUAUUAGAAUUACCUUCAUAAGAUAAAUCUGAGGGCGAGUUAUUUUGCAGGUAUUACAAAAAA